rnacentral:piRNA from 1 species
UGGAGAAUGCUUCAAGGUUCUAAGUGUGUCU